rnacentral:lncRNA from 1 species
GUCAUUCUAUGUGAUGAUAUAUAUUGUGGCAAUAUUGCUUAAGAUCAUCUUAAGUCUUUAAAUGCUUUUUCAUUUAUUAAAUUUUUAGGUUUGUGGCAGCAAUUCCCCUUCCCACCACUGAUUUUGUUGUUUUUUGCCUUUCAGAUUGUGGGAAUGAGAGGAGUGCAUUAAGGAUACACAAACAAAGCCUGAGGAUGAUGAGUGCAUAAAAACACCUUUGUUAUCCAUUGCAGGACUCUUAUAGGACAGAUGGCUUCUCAUGUUGUGCGUCCAGACAGAGAAGUAAAAGGCACAGAUCAUGAAAAGGGAGAUGGGAAUGGCUGAAUGAGCCACGCAUCACAGUGAUGAGGUAAGGCCUUCCUUUAACAACUGCAUCCAGCUCCCUCUGCUCCUGGCUAAUCUGUGCCUCCAACAAGGUAUCAUUUCUGGUACCAGGUUAACAAAGAAAUGGAAGCUGGAUCAGUUAAGAAAAAGUCCGUGGUGGUGCAGAUGGUGA